rnacentral:rRNA from 1 species
CUACAUAUCAAUAAGCGGAGGAAAAGAAACUAACAAGGAUUCCCCUAGUAACGGCGAGUGAAGAGGGAAAAGCUCAAAUUUAAAAGCUGUUGUCUUUCAGGCAACCGCAUUGUAAUCUCAAGAAGUGUUUUCGAUUGUAGCCUGCGUAUAAGUACCUUGGAAUAGGUUGGCAUAGAGGGUGAAACUCCCGUCUUUGAUGCAGAUUACUAUGAUCAUGUGAUACACUUUCUAAGAGUCGAGUUGUUUGGGAAUGCAGCUCAAAAUGGGUGGUAAAUUCCAUCUAAAGCUAAAUAUUGGCCUGAGACCGAUAGCGAACAAGUACCGUGAGGGAAAGAUGAAAAGCACUUUGGAAAGAGAGUCAAACAGAACGUGAAAUUGCUGAAAGGGAAGCGUUUGAAGUUAGUCUGAUAGGAGUUGUUCAAUUGUUACUUUGGUUUCAAUGUAUGCAACUUUUUAUCGGUCAACAUCAAUUUUGAUUGAUGGAUAAAGGUAAUAGGAAUGUGGCUACAAUUUGUAGUGUUAUAGCCUAUUAUCAUAAACAUUGAUUGAGAUUGAGGACGGCAGUGUACCUUUUAGGAAGGUGUUCGCACCUAUUACACUAAGGAUGUUGACAAAAUAGCUUUAAGCGACCCGUCUUGAAACACGGACCAAGGAGUCUAACAUAUCUGCGAGUAUUUGAGUGACAAACUCGAAUGCGUAAUGAAAGUGAAUGUAGGUGUGAAGCGUAAGCUGCAACAUCGACCGAUCUGGAAUUUUUAUAAUGAUGGAUUUGAGUAAGAGCAUAUAUGUUGGGACCCGAAAGAUGGUGAACUAUGCCUGAAUAGGGUGAAGCCAGAGGAAACUCUGGUGGAGGCUCGUAGCGGUUCUGACGUGCAAAUCGAUCGUCAAAUUUGGGUAUAGGGGCGAAAGACUAAUCGAACCAUCUAGUAGCUGGUUCUGCG